AUGCAGGUCCAGCCAUUUUGCCCGCUCUUUAGGAAAGAAGAUUCUAUUCACGGCUUGUAAUUCAGACUGUAAAUCUGUCAUUUCUUCCCGCAUUGCUCUCACUCAGCUGUCACUUUUCAGCUGCUCUGGCAGCUUGGUCCUGCCCCCACCAAAUCAUUCUACUCGCUUCUUGCCGGAGCUCCGUCCACUUUCCCUUGUGCAAUGUUUCCUUGCUCCACACAUCCCUGUGUCCCUAAAUCCUGUUCUCUCUUGCUCAGCUAUUUCCCUGUCCCCUUUUGGUUCCUCCUUCCUUCCACCCAGUCAACGCUUCUGGAUCAAGCCAGCAUCCAGCUGUGGUUUUCUGCUGACUUUUUCAUCCUUGUCGGGAAUGGACAUAGAAAAGGGGGAAGUGUCAUCCUAACCGAGACAGCGGGAUAGGAUUUCUUCUCGUUGGAAACAAGCAGAGACAGAAACCCUCCUCAGAGGCGGCUCUUUCAGUUAUUCCUUCAAAGGUUUGGGAAAGCAGGCAGUGAUCUUCCUCUGGACACAGUUACUCCUACACUGCAGUUCAUGGAAACUGUUGACCAUUGUGGAUGAAAAUCACAAAUUCAUGAGAAUAUUUCUGGAUUUAAGACUAUUAAAGGCUCUUUGAAAAUUCCCAUGUGAACAGAGCUGCCAGAAAAAUUUGCUGUGUGGCAACUCCUGAGGUUUCAAUUGUUGUUUCCAUUCUGCACUCACAGGAAAAUAAGUCUUCAUUAAAAAUGGGAGGUGAUGGGAUAUAGUCUAGAAACUGGCAGCUGAUAGACAGCUUGGAAUAAGGUGAGCACAAGCUCAAGUGAUUCAUCUGUUUUAGUAAAAUCAGAACUGUAUGGAGAAGGAACUAGAAUGUGCCUCCCACAAGAAGUUGGCUGUCUCCUCCCCUCUCCCUCCACAGAUGCAGGAAACUCCCAGGAAACCGGUUCUGCAGUAAACUGUGGUUCCUGUUACUUCACCCCUGAAACGUUUCCAAGAGAAACAAGGGAUUGUCCACAAGAUAAUCACCGCUGUGUCUGACUCCUCUGUGUGUAGUAUGGUGUGUCACUAAGAGAGAAGUAUUAUCUACAUGCAGCCUGUGAACAAAAAUCAAGAAUACUCACUGAGGAUAAAACUUUAGGUGCACAUCGUUCUGCAAAUGGAUGGUUUCUUAAAAAAAAAGGUCCUUGCUGCUAGGUAAAAGUAGCACCCUGGGUUUUCCAAUACCAGUAUUUCAGUGUCUGCUCUGUUGAACGUGAUGACACCUUCAAUCUCUCCAGGGGUAGUUUAGGUAGUUUGAGGCCAGUUAACGAUUUCUGAACUGAUUGCCUGCACAUUGGGCACCAAGUCCCCUUGUGGGGCUGAGCUGGUGUCAGCUUAGUCCAAGAGAGGUGCCCAUGCUCCUGUGCUCUCAGAGGCAGCCAGAUCCAGCCAUGGUGCCUGCUGUGAGCUGGACUGUCCCCAGGGCUCAUUUAAUUGUUGUCUUGCCUGCAAUAACUGGCAUGUGUGAAUCUCCCAUCCUACAGAAUGAAAGGCAAGGUUUACCAAUGCAGUGUUCCCAUUCUGACAUAUAACCUUCUCCUCAGGUGUAAAUCCACACUAUAAAAAUGGAUGUUAUGAAGCUGUCAUCUUUGAGACGGGGACAGUCCCCCAGCUUGGGGUGUCAUCUGGAAGGGGCUUCAAUCUCUAAGAAAUACUGAGGAUCUCACACAAGCUACAAGAGUCACCAGAGCCAUCUUUCAGUCACCAAGAAGAGGAAAGUACCUCUGGAGACAUUCAGAAGAUUGAGGUGUCACCCAAAGUAGCUUCAAAAAGGCAGGCUGGGUCGUAGUAUGUACCAAUAUACCAGCACUGGUGUAUUAGGGGAAUUUUUUUAAAUUGGGGUUCUCAUUAACUAAAUAAAAUGGAAUCAUGCUAGUCAGUUCAUGCUCAAAAGUCCUUCCCUUCACAUCAACAGUUUACUUGACUGUCAAAUAAGUAUCCUUCCAGAAUUAGAUCUAUUAGAAAUCUUACGGGUUUUGUUAUCAUUUUGCCAAGAAUUAUUUAUGUUUCGGCAUCAUGGAGGAGCUUGUUUUUACAGUCAUAGUAGAAAUUGGUGUAAUGAGAGAUGGGUAGUUGAUGGGUCUGCUAGUAAAAUCUACAGCUAUUCAAUUUUAGAGUGAUUAUUUUUCAAAAACUGUGAUGUUGGUAUUAGAAAAAACCUGUAUGUUUUUGAUAUUUUUAAUACUUAUUGGAUGGAGAGUAUCUGAAGUCCAGCAUGUAACAAGAUGGCAUUUAUACCCAGUGUCAGGUCUUUAUACCUUUACUAGUUUGAGUAGGUUUUUGCUUCACAGCUGAUGUCAUCAGAGCAAAUUUCUGCUUGCUGUGCAUCAUCUAGCAAGGUCUGAAGGGUGAUGGCUGUUGGCCACUAAUGUAAAAUUGGACAAGAGUUAGUAGUAAUCAAUUAAUAGGUAAUCAACCAGCUUCAAUAAAUCCAUAUAAAUGAUGAAAUCCAGUCUUCCAGUGUCUGAACACCUUGCAAAAGGUUUUCUGUGCCUCUUGAUUUUAUUAGAUUUUCUAUGGACCAGUGAAGAGGGUAAUAUGUUUGAUGCAUUUUAUGCGUGUCAGCACUUUUGGCUAGAAUUGAAUAAUUAAAUACCCUCACAGAGAAAAUUUACUUCUGUGCUAUGAAAAUGUCCUCACAAGUUGUUAAUUCUGUGCAAAAAAUUGAGUGAUGAUAAUUAGCAGAAGUGAGUAAAAAAUAGCAAAAAGCAAUUAUGCAAAUUAGCAAAAAAAGCUUGUAAAAUGUUGCGUAGGUGCAGCAGCUUGGAAAGAAACCCUUGACUUUGUUAUUUCUUUUCUGUCCCAUGACUUAAAAUACAAGCCAUUGCUCCUACGUUGAUGGGAAAAGUCAAAACAUAUGCUUUUCAGCUAACAAAAAACAACAUACAAGGCACAAUGUUAUUGCAAGUGUAAAACUAAAUGGAACUUUUCCAUAAGCCAUAUUCAGAGCACUGUUGAUGGCCACAAGGCCAGCUUCAGCUUGCUUCUGGGGGUGUUGGAGCCCACAUGGGCCAGCAUCCAAACACAGUAGAAAUACAAUACAACAACGUUUUCGCCUUCCGAUGCUUUUCAUGAAACCACCAGAAGUCCUGCAUCAGGAUCACAGUGUAUUAGUCUAGCUCAGAAGUUCAGGCUCGGGAAAACAGCUGGUAAAACUGCUCCAUGCAUCAUGCUUUACAAAACUUGACUACUUUGCAUUUGAAGAGGCAUAAUUACCCGUGUUAAAUAUCACUGGUUAGAAGCUGCACUGAAAAAGAAGUGACAUUUUGAUGGGUUGUUAGGGCAGGGAGAAGAUGAAUAAUUUUCAGCAUCUUGACAAAAAAUAAUCAUGUAAUUCAGUACCUCAAAUUGCAUUCUUCAGAGCGACUCCGUGAAAAUGGUGUUUCUCACCCAGCGUACUGACCCUCGAUGUGAAUUUAGUCAUUGUUGCUUUUAUUAAUCAAAAGAAAUGUUUGGCAGUUCUACAUAUAGAAACUCUGCUGAGCCAGAACUGAACAGGGAGGGAGAGCUGAAGGCUUUUGGAUUCAUUGUCUGUCAGCAGCACUGUUAAAUAAGCAGUGACUGACACUGUCUCAGCCCUUCACCUACAGGCAGAAUACUCACAUCCUCAGGUGAAAUCCUGUGGAAUAGGAUGGAACGCAACGGCAAGGAGCAUUUCCCCUGUAACAUUGCCGCUAGUGGCGUUAAUUGGCAAGCCAGGAAAAACAUGGCUUGGCUUCUGACUCCUCAGAUGUGUUGACAGAGCUGACAGUUAAGAGUUCUCUCUUUUUUUAAGUUGUGAAACACGUGUGUUUUACCUGGAAUUACUGAGUCACGACAAAUACGGAAAAACCGCUCCCAUGCCAUUUCCCAGAGAUGAGCAGUCAUUUAAUAACAUCAUGUUUAUACAAUAUUUGUUUCCACUGCCCAUGUUAGAGCCUCAAAGUACUUUGCAGACAUUAAUAAAACUGUUCAUAAUCCUUUCUAGCUAAGCAAUUUAUUUCCGCUUUAUUGACCAGAGCCACGAAGACACUGUUAAUAGCUUUUAUCUGUUACAUGAAGGACUUCUGAGCUGUGGCUUUCCAUGUUCUUUGAAAAAAACAAAACAAACUAAACUCAAACCAUGUUACUAUUAAGCCUGUUUUACAGGUGAAGAAAUAAGGCUUUCAAAAGAACCAGGACUGACUGCUGGAUGUAUAACCAAUGAUACCCAUAUGCCACGUACAUGCAGUUUGUUCAUCAUGCAAAUUGUUUUCACUGGUCAUGGGGGAUUUCUGGGGCAGUGGGAAGGACUGGAGGACCAGUGGAGGAGAAGCAGCCCUCCUGUGGUCACGUUAGUGUGGUUUUUUUAGGCUGCUUCUAAGGACUUGUUCAGUGAGCACAUCCCAAAGUAGACAGUCCACAUGGUGGGCUGUUGCCCACCUUCUCAUAGCAGUGAAAGCCCACGUGCAUUGCACAUUUGUGCUGCAGGGCCUCUGGUACUGACACAGCCCUGCACCAAUUUCUUCAGGGCUGAUUUGCUUACAAAAUAUACAUACGUACAUACUAUAUAUAUGUGUAUAUAUAUAUAUACACA